UGAGCACAAAGCCUAGCCUUGAAUUUCUGCAUCUUUGCUUCUUCUCCCCUAAACUUGAUCAAAAAAAAAGGGGAAAAUGAAGCUCGUCAGGUUCUUGAUUAAGUUGAAUAACGAUCGAGCUCAAGAACGGUACCCCGUCGUGUCGUCCCUGGCACUAUCACUGGUGUUGAUGUGAGCAUGAACACGCACUUUAAGAUUGUGGAACUGACUCUCAAGGGGAAGAACCCUGUCACUUCUCGAUCAUCUAAGCUAGAGUGGGGGAACAAUAUCCGCUACUACAUUCUCCUCGAUUGUUUGAACCUUGUGAGUUUACUUGUAGAGAACACUCCUAGGGGGAAGGCUAUUGGGCGUUGCAGAGGACGUGGUCGUGACAAAAGAGGUCGUUAGAUUUCUUUUGACAAAAAAAAAAAUAGCCUUUGUUUGGCUACUACUACUAUCUCCACUUGGACAAAAGUUAAGGAUUGUGCAACCGGGUUCCUGAUUGUAAACUGGUUCCCCUAUGUAACUGUAGGGGUUGCACGGGUAGGGAAAUGCGGAAGGCACGCCGUAUCCUUGAGGAGAUGGAUAACAGGGAGGAGGAGGAGGAGGAGGACAUGGAUUGCAUGGCGGCGGAGGACAUGGUUUACAUGGCGGUGGACAUGGUUUACAGGGCGCGGGCUUCUUCUCCUCUUCCUUCUUCUUGUCUCCAUCUUUCUUAUCGCCUUCCUUUUUGUCACCAUCUUUCUUAUCGCCAUCCUUUUUGUCCCCAUCCUUCUUCUCUUCUGGCUUCUUUGGAGGUUCGACUUUGCUCACGCUUACAAGCUCUGCAAAGGCUACCUUCUUUCUGAGCCUUUUGGUGAGGCCGAUCAUGUCAACUUCAGUACCAGUCACCUCUAUCUGGUUCCGGUGAUCGCCUUUUAUCUCCACGGCUGAGACACCUAUCAUAACACAAAAAGGUUAAAUCCAACAUAGGUGUUUGGUUACCUUUUUUUGGUGAGAAGGUCUUCUUACCCUUGAACUGAACUGCUUUUGUCAUAGCUUUUGCUCGGGUCUUGUCAUCAGUCAUAGUCACUCUAAACAGGAUCUUUUGCUGCGUGUGAUAAUGAUAAAUCUUAUAACGUCAAUCAAAGAAGCCAUAUAAACCCUUACACCAUAUUACUUGUUGUUGAGUACAUAUACUUACCUUCAUCUUCUUGUUUGCUUAAGAGGAUUGACUACAAGUCUUGAGUUCUGGGUCUCUUGUAGAAUACUACAAGUCUGAAGAAAUGUCUUUCCUAAUGGUGUAUUGUCUUCUGAUAUAUGAGUGAGUUGUUGACGAUCGUUAGGAUUUCGUUUUCAAUUCGUUGUUAACAAAAUUAUAUAAAAACCAGCUAGUUGCUUA